rnacentral:rRNA from 1 species
ACGAAGCGACGCCGCGUGGGUGAGGAAGGCCUUCGGGUUGUAAAGCCCUGUCAGGGAGUUAAGAAAUGUAAGUGCGCUAAUACUCGCAUUUAUUUGACGAAGGCUCCAAAGGAAGCCACGGCUAACUCUGUGCCAGCAGCCGCGGUAAUACAGAGGUGGCAAGCGUUGUUCGGAAUUAUUGGGCGUAAAGAGCACGUAGGUGGGUUUGUAAGUCAGAUGUGAAAGCCUUCUGUUCAACGGAAGAAUUGCAUCUGAAACUGCUAAUCUUGAGUGUAGGAGGGGAGAAUGGAACUUCUGGUGGAGCGGUGAAAUGCGUAGAUAUCAGAAGGAACGCCGGCGGCGAAAGCGAUUCUCUGGCCUAUUACUGACACUCAGUGUGCGAAAGCUAGGGGAGCAAACGGGAUUAGAUACCCCGGUAGUCCUAGCCGUAAACGAUGGGCACUAAGUAGAGGGAAUUACCGAUGUUCUCUCUGCCGUAGCUAACGCAUUAAGUGCCCCGCCUGGGGAGUACGGCCGCAAGGCUAAAACUCAAAAGAAUUGACGGGGGCUCGCACAAGCGGUGGAGCAUGUGGCUUAAUUCGAUGCAACGCGAAAAACCUUACCGGGGCUUGACAUGGUAGAAGUAGGAACCCGAAAGGGUCACGAACGGUAUCCAGUCCGUAGCUAUUACAGGUGUUGCAUGGCUGUCGUCAGCUCUUGUCGUGAGACGUUGGGUUAA